CAUCAUGGUUGAUCAGCCAAUGAAAGUGCUCAGAGGCUCCUACGUCACAGUCUGGUGGUGCAUAAGUCCGGCAAAAACUUGCGCCUCAGUCAUGCGCAGGAGAAGUUGACGUGAGGGUGUUCGCUCCUCUGGAGGAGAUUGCUCCAAAUCCUUGGAUCAAGAGCCCAUCACCUGCCAUGUAUAUGCAUGUCACCGCUCUGGCCACAGCCAAUGAAAACGAGAGUUACUAAGUUGGCGGAAAACAGAAGCCAAUUACAGCCUAGAUUUAACCUAUGACGUCACGGGUUCGAGCGCCAAAACCCAGCAGCCAAUCAGCAGUCGUGACGUCACUUGACGAGCCAAUCAAAGUGCACAGACUACUACGUCACAGUGGUGGUGGUGCGGGAGCCCGCGUAAAUUUGCCUGAAGUACUGUGCAGGAGAUGACGUGAGGGCGUGCGCUCCUCUGGGUAAGGUUGCUCCAAAUCCUUGGAUCAAAAGUCCAUCAGCACUCAAAAAGCAAAUUGCUAAGUUGGCGGGAAGCAACAGCCAAUUACAGCGUAGAUUUAGCCUGACGUCACGGGCUUGAGCGCCAAGACCCAGCAGUCGUGACGUCACUUGAUCAGCCAAUGAGAGCGCUCAGAUUACUACGUCAGUCUGGUAGUGGUGCAGGUAGCCCGCGUAAACUGGCGCCAUGCAUGGGAGGAGUGAGGAUGCGCGCUCCUCAGUUGAAGCAGACGAGUUCAGUAGUAACUGUUAGCCUUUAUGGUAAGUGGUAGCGUUUGUCACUUUCACUUAUAAGUGAUUACUUAUCCCUUUACCAUUUGUCUACCACUUAUGUUAUUUUACCACUUUUACGACCUUACCAUUUGUCACUACCACUUAUAUCGCUACUAUAGAUUUUAAUUGAAAUUAUUAUUCGCUGAAGCAUUAAUUUAUUAUCCAGCGUUUUAUAUAUGGACUUUGUUGCCAUGGAUACGUGAAUAUGGUGGAUGCCUUGUUGAAUUAUUCUAGUAAACUAAGAUUUAAAUGUCAUAAUAUAUGUUUUUUUUUUCGUAGUUACUGAUUUUAAUGUUUAUUAUUUUAAAUUGAUUUAAAGUUGAUAUUAUAUUUUUUUUUCAGUUGCCAUGUUUUAAGUUGAUGCAAGUUAAAUUUAUUCAUAUUUUCCAAAAGCUUUUUUUUUUGGGGGGGGGGGUGUUGACCCUUUGAGAUCCUAACGGUGUAUGACCCUUGUAGGUUUAGCGCUUCUUUAUGGUUAUAUUACCCUUGUAGGUUUAACGCUUCUUUAUGGUUAUGUAUGACCCUUGUACGUUUAGCGCUUUAUGGUUAUGUAUGACCCGUUGGGUUUAGUUAUUAGUUAUGAUUAUAAUUUUUAAAAAUUGAUAUAGGAACUUCUUAGUAAUUUUGAGAUGAUUUAAAGCUGAACACCUGUUCAAUAUUACUGGACUUUGGUUAAUGUUUUAGGUAUUAAAAGUAUUCUUGACAGGUGGUGCAUAGGUUACAUGCAGCCUUAAUGACCGUGUAGUAAAAAGACUUUAAACCCAAUACCCUAGUGGGUUUAGUGCUUCUUGAUUAUUAAACCCAGCAAAUCAUGACGUUCGUGAAGUAGAUAGGCUUUAAGCCCAAUAAAUUAUGACCUUUGUGCAGUAGAUAGGCUUUAAACCCAGUAAAUCAUGACCUUCAUGAAGUAGAUAUGUUUUAAACCCAAUGAAGCAAUUAUGACUUGUGUAGUAGAUAGGCUUUAAACCCAAUAAAUCAAUCAUGACCUUCGUGUAAUAAGCUUUUAACUUGGGAAAUCACUCAUGACCUUCGUGUAGUAGUAGGCUUUAAACUCAAUAAAUCAAUCAUGACCUUCGUGUAAUAAGCUUUGAACUCGGUAAAUCACUAAUGACCUUCGUGUAGUAGUAGGCUUUAAACCCAAUAAAUCAUGACUUGAUUAGUAGAUAGGCUUUAAACCCAAUAAAUCGAUCAUGACUUGUGUAGUAGAUAGGCUUAAGCCCAAUAAAUUAUGACCUUUGUGUAGUAGAUAGGCUUUAAACCCAGUAAACCAUGACCUUCAUGAAUUAGAUAGGUUUUAAACCCACUGGAGCAAUUAUGACGUGUAGCAGAUAGGCUUUAAACCCAAUAAAUCAUGACCUUCGUGUAGUAGAUAGGCUUUAAGCCUAAUAAAUCCAUCAUAACCGUGUAAUAAGCUUUUAACUCGGGGAAAUCACUCAUGACCUUUGUGUAGUAGAUAGGCUUCAAACCCAAUUAAUCCAUCAUAACCGUGUAAUAAGCUUUCAACUCGGGAAAUCACUCAUGACCUUUGUGUAGUAGAUAGGCUUUAAACCCAAUAAAUCAUGACCUGUGUAGUAGAUAGGCUUUAAACCCAAUAAAUCAUGACUUGUGUGUAGUAGAUAGGCUUUAAACCCAAUAAAUCAGUCAUGACCUUCGUGUAGUAGUAGGCUUUAAACCCAAUAAAUCAUGACUUGAUUAGUAGAUAGGCUUUAAACCCAAUAAAUUAUUAGUGACCUUUGUGUAGUAGGCUUUAAACCCAAUAAAUAAAUCAUGCCCUUUGUGUAGUAGAUAGGCUUUAAACCCAUUAAAUAAAUCAUGACCUUUGUAUAGUAGAUAGGCUUUAAACCCAAUAAAUAAAUUAUAACCUUUGUAUAGUAGAUAGGCUUUAAACCCAAUAAAUCAUGCCCUUUGUGUAGUAGAUAGGCUUUAAACCCAAUAAAUCAUGACCUUUGUGUAGCAGAUUGGCUUUAAACCCAAUAAAUAAAUUAUGACCUUUGUAUAGUAGAUAGGCUUUAAACCCAAUAAAUAAGUUAUAACCUUUGUGUAGUAGAUGGGCUUUAAACCCAAUAAAUCAUGACCUUUGUGUAGUAGAGAGGCUUU